rnacentral:rRNA from 1 species
UACGUAGGUGGCAAGCGUUUGUCCGGAAUUAUUGGGCGUAAAGCGCGCGCAGGUGGUUUCUUAAGUCUGAUGUGAAAGCCCACGGCUCAACCGUGGAGGGUCAUUGGAAACUGGGGAACUUGAGUGCAGGAGAGAAGAGUGGAAUUCCACGUGUAGCGGUGAAAUGCGUAGAUAUCGUAAGGAAGACCAGUGGCGAAGGCGGGUCUCUGGACAGUUCCUGACGCUGAGGCACGAAGGCCAGGGAGCAAACGGG